AGAGUUUGAUCAUGGCUCAGAAUGAACGCUGGCGGCAUGCCUAACACAUGCAAGUCGAACGAAGCCUUCGGGCUUAGUGGCGCACGGGUGCGUAACGCGUGGGAAUCUACCCUUGGGUUCGGAAUAACAGUUAGAAAUGACUGCUAAUACCGAAUGAUGUCGUAAGACCAAAGAUUUAUCGCCCAGGGAUGAGCCCGCGUAGGAUUAGCUAGUUGGUGUGGUAAAGGCGCACCAAGGCGACGAUCCUUAGCUGGUCUGAGAGGAUGAUCAGCCACACUGGGACUGAGACACGGCCCAGACUCCUACGGGAGGCAGCAGUGGGAAUAUUGGACAAUGGGCGAAAGCCUGAUCCAGCAAUGCCGCGUGAGUGAUGAAGGCCUUAGGGUUGUAAAGCUCUUUUACCCGGGAUGAUAAUGACAGUACCGGGAGAAUAAGCUCCGGCUAACUCCGUG
rnacentral:rRNA from 1 species